rnacentral:lncRNA from 1 species
UGUCUAAAGCAAAAUUACAGUUAAAAACACAUUGGCGCGCAUUUUUUGCGGCGUGAGAGCGACUGCUGAAAAGUUUAGCCUGUUGCCUCGUGAAGUGACGUCAAAAUGACGUCACAUUGUCGCGGAAGAUUUGUUGUCACCAGCCAUCUUAGUUCAAACUCACUCUGGAUAUAUUACAACCAAGGGAUUGUGCAGCAACGGGAACUGGACAGAUGAUCUGUGAAUUCGGAUAAGCAAGGGGGAAAAUGUUACACGACCAUUCCAGGAGAUAAUAUCAAGAAUGUUGAAUCAUUGAGGAACACACCAAAUAAACCCUGGGCUGUGAAUUAUGUUAACGGAAGUGGAAGUGAACACCAAAGAAAGAAGAUUCUGGCAUUCAAUAAUUUCGAAAAGUGUAUACAUUUUCUAUAAUCUAAAAAUAAUAAAAUGUCAACGCAAA